UACGUAGGGUGCGAGCGUUAAUCGGAAUUACUGGGCGUAAAGCGUGCGUAGGCGGUUCUCCAAGUCCGUUGUGAAAGCCCCGGGCUCAACCUGGGAAUGGCAGUGGAAACUAGGGGACUGGAAUCUGGCAGAGGGGGGUGGAAUGCCGCGUGUAGCAGUGAAAUGCGUAGAGAUCGGGAGGAACAUCCGUGGCGAAGGCGACUACCUGGACCAGCACUGACACUGAGGCACGAAAGCGUGGGGAGCAAACAGG
rnacentral:rRNA from 1 species